GACGAACGCUGGCGGCGUGCUUAACACAUGCAAGUCGAACGGAAAGGCCCUGCUUUUGUGGGGUGCUCGAGUGGCGAACGGGUGAGUAACACGUGAGUAACCUGCCCUUGACUUUGGGAUAACUUCAGGAAACUGGGGCUAAUACCGGAUAGGAGCUCCUGCUGCAUGGUGGGGGUUGGAAAGUUUCGGCGGUUGGGGAUGGACUCGCGGCUUAUCAGCUUGUUGGUGGGGUAGUGGCUUACCAAGGCUUUGACGGGUAGCCGGCCUGAGAGGGUGACCGGCCACAUUGGGACUGAGAUACGGCCCAGACUCCUACGGGAGGCAGCAGUGGGGAAUAUUGCACAAUGGGCGGAAGCCUGAUGCAGCAACGCCGCGUGCGGGAUGACGGUCUUCGGGUUGUAAACCGCUUUCGCCUGUGACGAAGCGUGAGUGACGGUAAUGGGUAAAGAAGCACCGGCUAACUACGUGCCAGCAGCCGCGGUGAUACGUAGGGUGCGAGCGUUGUCCGGAUUUAUUGGGCGUAAAGGGCUCGUAGGUGGUUGAUCGCGUCGGAAGUGUAAUCUUGGGGCUUAACCCUGAGCGUGCUUUCGAUACGGGUUGACUUGAGGAAGGUAGGGGAGAAUGGAAUUCCUGGUGGAGCGGUGGAAUGCGCAGAUAUCAGGAGGAACACCAGUGGCGAAGGCGGUUCUCUGGGCCUUUCCUGACGCUGAGGAGCGAAAGCGUGGGGAGCGAACAGGCUUAGAUACCCUGGUAGUCCACGCUGUAAACGGUGGGUACUAGGUGUGGGGUCCAUUCCACGGGUUCCGUGCCGUAGCUAACGCUUUAAGUACCCCGCCUGGGGAGUACGGCCGCAAGGCUAAAACUCAAAGGAAUUGACGGGGCCCCGCACAAGCGGCGGAGCAUGCGGAUUAAUUCGAUGCAACGCGUAGAACCUUACCUGGGUUUGACAUGGAUCGGGAGUGCUCAGAGAUGGGUGUGCCUCUUUUGGGGUCGGUUCACAGGUGGUGCAUGGCUGUCGUCAGCUCGUGUCGUGAGAUGUUGGGUUAAGUCCCGCAACGAGCGCAACCCUUGUUCACUGUUGCCAGCACGUUAUGGUGGGGACUCAGUGGAGACCGCCGGGGUCAACUCGGAGGAAGGUGGGGAUGACGUCAAGUCAUCAUGCCCCUUAUGUCCAGGGCUUCACGCAUGCUACAAUGGCUGGUACAGAGAGUGGCGAGCCUGUGAGGGUGAGCGAAUCUCGGAAAGCCGGUCUCAGUUCGGAUUGGGGUCUGCAACUCGACCUCAUGAAGUCGGAGUCGCUAGUAAUCGCAGAUCAGCAACGCUGCGGUGAAUACGUUCCCGGG
rnacentral:rRNA from 1 species